UACGAAGGGGGCUAGCGUUGCUCGGAUUCAUUGGGCGUAAAGGGUGCGUAGGCGGCGCGGUAAGUCGGGUGUGAAAUCUCGGAGCUUAACUCCGAAACUGCAUUCGAUACUGCCGUGCUUGAGGACUGGAGAGGAGACUGGAAUUUACGGUGUAGCGGUGAAAUGCGUAGAUAUCAGGAGGAACACCGAUGGCGAAGGCAGGUCUCUGGGCCACUACUGACGCUGAGAAGCGAAAGCAUGGGGAGCGAACAGG
rnacentral:rRNA from 1 species